CGAAAAAAAGAAAAAAGAAAAAAAAGAAAAAGAAUU
rnacentral:ribozyme from 1 species